rnacentral:rRNA from 1 species
GAUGAACGCUAGCUACAGGCUUAACACAUGCAAGUCGAGGGACCGGCGCACGGGUGAGUAACACGUAUACAACCUGCCCUUUACUCGGGGAUAGCCUUUAGAAAGAAAGAUUAAUACCCGAUAUAAAGGAUGGGGAUGCGUUCCAUUAGGUUGUUGGUGAGGUAACGGCCCACCAAGCAGUCGAUGGAUAGGGGUUCUGAGAGGAAGGACCCCCACAUUGGAACUGAGACACUGUCCAAACUCCUACCGGAGGCAGCAGUGAUGAAUAAUGGUCAAUGGGCGUUAGCCUGAACCAUCGAAGUAGCGUGAAGGAUGAAGGCUUAUGGGUCGUAAACUUCUUUUAUAUAAUAAUCUGUAUUAGAUUAAUAAGGCUCGGCUAACUCCGUGCCAGCAGCCGCGGUAAUUC